GCUGAACUUAAGCAUAUCAAUACGAAA
rnacentral:rRNA from 1 species